GCACCUUGCACAUCAUCCCCAUGCACUCGAGCACCCCUCUAAUACCACAAAGGUUUUCUGAUCAUGUAGUGGUGGAGAGUGUAUACUUGUCGUGGCACGGAAUGGGAAGGCUGAGAAUAUUGGGCGGGAGUUCUAUGGUUGUCACUACUACUUUACCCCUGAUAGAAGAUGUAAUUUCUUCUAUUGGAAGGAUGAGACAAGGAGUUGUCCAUGUGGAAAUGGAUUUUGUAGGAUCUUCACAUCUAAACGGCCCGAUCCACAAGGGAGACAAUUUUGGGUUUGUGUAAAGCCCCAAGAUGCAAGUGGGUGUAGGUUCUUUGCAUGGAUACCAGGGCGAUCACAUGUCCAACAUAGCACAGGGUGCAUAACCAUCAAAGGAAAUGGGGCAGGGCCUUCUAAAGAUCCACUAGAUGAUGUUGAAACUUCGAUCAAAUGUCUGAGUUUUGUGAUAAAUUGUUGGGUCGUAUAAAAAGUUUGUGAAUCAAAGAUGUAUAAUGCAUUAUUAUGUAAUCUUGGUAUUUGGAAAAUUUAGUUGAAUUAAAAGCCAUGUUGAUGGUCUA